rnacentral:rRNA from 1 species
AAUCUUCCGCAAUGGUCGAAAGUCUGACGGAGCAACGCCGCGUGAGUGAUGAAGUUUUUCGGAUCGUAUAUCUCUGUUGGUAGGGAAGAACAAGUAUGCGAGGCACUGACGGUACUUUGACGGUACCUGACUAAAAAGCCACGGCUAUCUACGUGCAAGUAGCCGCGGUAAUACGUAGGUGGCAAGCGUUGUCCGGAUUUAUUGGGCGUAAAGCGCGCGCAGGCUGUCUUUUAAGUCUGAUGUGAAAUCUUACAGCUUAACUGUAAGCGGUCAUUGGAAACUGGGAGGCUUGAGUGCAGAAGAGGAGAGUGGAAUUCCAUGUGUAGCGGUGAAAUGCGUAGAGAUAUGGAGAAACACCAGUGGCGAAGGCGACUCUCUGGUCUGUAACUGACGCUGAGGCGCGAAAGCGUGGGGAUCAAACA